UACGGGGGGGGCAAGCGUUGUUCGGAAUUACUGGGCGUAAAGGGUGCGUAGGCGGCGUAAUAAGUCCGUGGUGAAAGCCAACAGCUCAACUGUUGAACUGCCAUGGAUACUGUUAUGCUUGAGUACAGACGAGGUAGGCGGAAUGGAUCGUGUAGCGGUGAAAUGCAUAGAUACGAUCCAGAACUCCGAUCGCGAAGGCAGCUUACUAGGCUGUAACUGACGCUGAGGCACGAAAGCGUGGGGAGCGAACAGG
rnacentral:rRNA from 1 species